CUGAGCCAAUGGGCUGCGCUCUCCGCUACGUGUGGCGUCACACGUACCGGUCAAGAUGGCGUCGGCGGAUGGAGCUGAGGUUUUCCCGCGACCUUUACCCUGGUGGGGGGGUGUUAGGGGCAGUGGGAAAGCAGCUUCGUGCCGGUAUGGCCGUAUAGGGUUAGGAUCGGAUUCCUCAGCGGCUUGGGAGCAAUUCUAAGCGGCUUCCAGGCCCGCCAGCCGCAGCUGGAGGAGAGAGAAUCCACGCUACGAGACGUGUCACCGUGGACAACCUAGUGGCGCGGACCCGAUCUGGAGGGGGCGCGGAAUUGCAAGUGGAGAAGGACAAUUCGAGCGUUCUCGACUUCGGGUUUCAACCCGUGUCCAGUGGGAAUGCUAGUGCUCUAUCUGUCAGAGGCAAGAAGGCAAAGGCAUUUGUUUGAGGCUCUGCGGCGUGGAGGCAAAGUGAGCAUGCCCGCACGUCUUCUCCCGACCCGUGCUGAACAGUCUAAGUAGCAAGGAAGAAAUUCCCCUGCAAUGAAGCAGGUUCAGCGUUGAUUGCUGUCCGUCCAGCCCAAGUGAACAAAGCUUCCUCUUCCAGAUGUCUUUGUUUCUCUCCUCCCCAACUCAGCCCAGCCAGAGGAGCAUCCCAUAAGGGCAUCCAUUUCCUCCACCAGACCACAGGCUCAAGCACAGGGAUCAUAUCUGAUUCUGCUCUACAGUUAUGGUACUGACGGGGCCUGGCACCGCAUAGAGGGUCAACAGAUGCUUGUUGAGAAUGAAGCCUUGAAACGGAGAAGAGAAACUCAUCAGACUAUCUCAGGCUAAUGGCAGAGCCCAGCACAAAGAUGUCAAGGCAGCGAGGCCCUUUGCUGUCCCUGUCACACUCUCAGCACUCUGUCCAAACAGGCUCCAGACACCCUUAUUUCAACGAGGGUAUCUUAAACGAGUCCACUUCCCAGCCUGUUUUAAUCAUCCUGAUUCCUGGCUCCGGGGCUUGCCUUCUCUUUAUCACCUACCAUCACCUCUUGAUAUAUUACUUGAAGUGGUCAAGCCUGUGGCUCUCUCUCUUGCUUGAAAAUUUUUUUAUUUUUAUUAUUUUAUUUUAUUUUUGCUUUUUAGGGCCACACCCGUGGCACAUGGAGCGUC